GACGAACGCUGGCGGCGUGCCUAAUACAUGCAAGUAGAACGCUGAAGGAGGAUCUUGCUUCUCUGGAUGAGUUGCGAACGGGUGAGUAACGCGUAGGUAACCUGCCUGGUAGCGGGGGAUAACUAUUGGAAACGAUAGCUAAUACCGCAUAAGAGUAGAUGUCGCAUGACAUUUGCUUAAAAGGUGCAAUUGCAUCACUACCAGAUGGACCUGCGUUGUAUUAGCUAGUUGGUGAGGUAACGGCUCACCAAGGCAACGAUACAUAGCCGACCUGAGAGGGUGAUCGGCCACACUGGGACUGAGACACGGCCCAGACUCCUACGGGAGGCAGCAGUAGGGAAUCUUCGGCAAUGGACGGAAGUCUGACCGAGCAACGCCGCGUGAGUGAAGAAGGUUUUCGGAUCGUAAAGCUCUGUUGUAAGAGAAGAGCGAGUGUGAGAGUGGAAAGUUCACACUGUGACGGUAUCUUACCAGAAAGGGACGGCUAACUACGUG
rnacentral:rRNA from 1 species